GCCCCCAUCGUCUAGCCUGGUUAGGACAUAUGGUUCUCAGCCAUAAAACACCGGUUCAAAUCCGGUUGGGGGUACCA
rnacentral:tRNA from 1 species